rnacentral:rRNA from 1 species
CACAUGACUCUCGGCAACGGAUAUCUUGGCUCUCGCAUCGAUGAAGAACGUAGCAAACUGCGAUACCUGGUGUGAAUUGCAGAAUCCCGUGAACCAUCGAGUUUUUGAACGCAAGUUGCGCCUAAGGCCUUUUGGCCAAGGGCACGUCUGCCUGGGCGUCACGC